UGUUAUCAUAUUGUCUUACAUUAGACAUCUCUCUAAUUGUCAUUUGAUCUAUAUAAUUAUUAUGUAACAUCUCUCUAAAACUAUGUAAUCAUAUUAAGUUAAGGGACCACAUAUGAUAUUUAGCCUAAAAAAAAGGAAUAGAUGCAUAGCUUAAAAGAGAAAAAGAAAAUAGAUGCUAGCUUAAAAGAGAGAAGUUAAAUUUUAUAAUCUAGACACCGUCUUGUUUCUCUAUGCCAGAGAUGAUCCAAGCGCGCUCAACUAACAGUCUUCCAUGACAAGGUGCUCGGUCAAAUUCGAAUUUGAAGUAACCUUGAUCACCCCAUUUGUCUUGAGAAUUCCUCACCAACCAAUAUUUCUUGAAUUUGUUAUUUUCUAUUUGCUGUCCUCACCAACCAAUACUUCUUCAAUUUGUUAUUUUCUAUUUGCUGUCCUCACCAACCAAUACUUCUUCAAUUUGUUAUUUUCUAUUUGUUGUCCGUAUCCCACAAUAAUCAUUCGAUGUCUUUCUUCUGGGCGAACAUUAAAAUCUGUUGCAUUAUAUACCAUCCUAUAAUUACAGUGAAAUUAAAUUAACUCAUUUUUAAAUUGAUAUACUAAUAACUAAAUUCAUUCAAAAACUUUGACUUACCCCUCCAAUUUAUCUAAUGCAUUCCUAACCGCCAAUUCUAAUCUAAGAGUUUGUUUUUUUCUUUGACUGAUAUUUCAUCCAGAAGAUUUAUAUAUUGGUCAGUGGUGAUCCUUAAAAAUAUCUAAAUAUACAGGUGCAGAAAAAACAAAAUCAAAAUAAGGUGUAUAAUAAAAAAAGAUUUACCAUAUGAGAAAAACAAAAUCAAUAUAAAGUGGACAAUAAUAAAGAUAAAUAAUGAGAAAGAAAAAAAAAAAUUACCGGCAUAAAUGUUCCCACAUAUGGACAAUCUGUUCUAAUAAAAAACCAUUCUCCCUCACCCAGACAAUUGUCUCAGACACAGUACUACCGUCACGAUCUUCUUCGGUAGUCUUUAUUAAACGAUUAUAGAUAUCUUGCGGAGAUAAUAUAAUCCAACGUCCAUUUUCCAUGUGGUAUAAUACCUCUACCACACCGCAUAUCGCAAAAGCAAAACAACAACCUACAGGGUUUAAAUGUGUAUAUAUAUAUAUAUAUAUAUAUAUGGAGUUGUUAAUAUAUAUAAAUCUAACAAUAGUAAUAGUAAGUGUAUAUUAAUCACCUACACACAUUAUUUUUAUUUGAAAUACACUUAUUUAAAACAAUUUUAAAUAAAAGACAUGGUUGUGACUAUAGAUGUCUGUAUAAGUACUCUAUACGUGGCGUUGAAAACUCCCGAUCUACUCCGGCGGUGCGGUUACACCGGUCGACUUUAUCGGAGGUGAGUGUUUAUGAAAAAAAAAUCAUCUUUUUCGUUUUACAAGAAAAAUAUUUUAUUUUAAAUGACAAAAUGAAAAUGGAGUUUUUUUUAAGAUGAAAAUGGAGGAAGAUGGAAAUGGCAAAUGGAAAUGAUUUUUUUAAAAGAUGGAGAUGAAGUUUUUUUUAAGAUGGAAAUGAUUUUUUUAAAAGAUGGCGAUGAAGUUUUUUUUAAGAUGGAAAUGGAAUAAGAUGGAAAGGGUAGAAGAUGGAAAUGAAGUUUUUAAACAUGGAAAUGAGAAGUUUUUGUUAAUGGAAAUGGGAGAAGAUGAAAAUGUUUGAGAAUGGAUUUAGAAGUGUUUAUAAAGUUGUGUUUUGUUGGUGAAAAAGAAAUGAGAGUGAAAAAUUACUACAAGAAAGGUUGUAAGAAAAUGUCUUUGAGGAAGUUCAUGGGUCAAAAUUUUGCAACACAAGUUGUUUUACGUGGAAAAUUUAAUCUGGAAACAAAUAUAACUUUUAUUUUGAUUUCUUCUCUAUAGUUGUUUAGUAUGUUGUACCUUUUGCAAUAAGUUGAAGUCACUUAUUGAAUACCUCAUUAAAAUUUAUAAACAAGUAGUGCAUUACAAAAGAAUAAAAAGUCAAGAAAAAAAUGUUAAACAGACAAGAAACUCAUACUACCAUAAUAUUCUCUUCUUCUAAAGUCUUUAUGAAAUUAAAAAAAAAAACAAAAAAAAAGGUUUUUUUCUCUUUUAUUGGUGUUUGAGCAUAAAAAUAGAUGAGAGGGAGUAGAAAAAGAGAGAGAGUUUCUUUGUGUUUAUAGUUUUGUUUUUAAUUUUUUUUAUUUUAUAUUUAAUAGAUGGAAGAAAAAACAAAAGGUUCUUUUUUGUAUGUGAGAUUUUAAGAGAUUUGAUUUGAUAAGUGAGAGUGCUGUAGAAAACAAAAGUAAAAUUUGUGUGUGAGAUUGUAUUAUAAGAAAUUUAAUAAUCAAGUAAGACUAUUGUGAAAAGAGAAUUAAGAGUGUGACUAUAGAUGUCUGUAUAAGUACUCUAUACGUGGCGUUGAAAACUCCCGCCGGUCGACUUUAUCGGAGGUGAGUGUUUAUGAAAAAAAAAUCUUCUUUUUCGUUUUACAAGAAAAAUAUUUUUUUUUUUAAAUGACAAAAUGGAAAUGGAGUUUUUUUUAAGAUGAAAAUGGAGGAAGAUGGAAAUGGCAAAUGGAAAUGAUUUUUUUAAAAGAUGGAGAUGAAGUUUUUUUUAAGAUGGAAAUGAUUUUUUUAAAAGAUGGCGAUGGAGUUUUUUUUAAGAUGGAAAUGGAAUAAGAUGGAAAGGGUAGAAGAUGGAAAUGAAGUUUUUAAAGAUGGAAAUGAGAAGUUUUUGUUAAUGGAAAUGGGAGAAGAUGAAAAUGUUUGAGAAUGGAUUUAGAAGUGUUUAUAAAGUUGUGUUUUGUUGGUGAAAAAGAAAUGAGAGUGAAAAAUUACUACAAGAAAGGUUGUAAGAAAAUGUCUUUGAGGAAGUUCAUGGGUCAAAAUUUUGCAACACAAGUUGUUUUACGUGGAAAAUUUAAUCUGGAAACAAAUAUAACUUUUAUUUUGAUUUCUUCUCUAUAGUUGUUUAGUAUGUUGUACCUUUUGCAAUAAGUUGAAGUCACUUAUUGAAUACCUCAUUAAAAUUUAUAAACAAGUAGUGCAUUACAAAAGAAUAAAAAGUUAAGAAAAAAAUGUUAAAAAGAGAAGAAACUCAUACUACCAUAAUAUUCUCUUCUUCUAAAGUCUUUAUGAAAUUAAAAAAAAAACAAAAAAAAAAGUUUUUUUCAUUCUCUUUUAUUGGUGUUUGAGCAUAAAAAUAGAUGAGAGAAAGUAGAAAAAGAGAGAGAGUUUCUUUGUGUUUAUAGUUUUGUUUUUAAUUUUUUUUAUUUUAUAUUUAAUAGAUGGAAGAAAAAACAAAAGGUUCUUUUUUGUAUGUGAGAUUUUAAGGGAUUUGAUUUGAUAAGUGAGAGUGCUGUAGAAAACNNNNNNNNNNNNNNNNNNNNNNNNNNNNNNNNNNNUCUUUUUCGUUUUACAAGAAAAAUAUUUUUUUUUUAAAUGACAAAAUGGAAAUGGAGUUUUUUUUAAGAUGAAAAUGGAGGAAGAUGGAAAUGGCAAAUGGAAAUGAUUUUUUUAAAAGAUGGAGAUAAAGUUUUUUUUAAGAUGGAAAUGAUUUUUUUAAAAGAUGGUGAUGAAGUUUUUUUUAAGAUGGAAAUGGAAUAAGAUGGAAAGGGUAGAAGAUGGAAAUGAAGUUUUUAAACAUGGAAAUGAGAAGUUUUUGUUAAUGGAAAUGGGAGAAGAUGAAAAUGUUUGAGAAUGGAUUUAGAAGUGUUUAUAAAGUUGUGUUUUGUUGGUGAAAAAGAAAUGAGAGUGAAAAAUUACUACAAGAAAGAUUGUAAGAAAAUGUCAUUGAGGAAGUUCAUGGGUCAAAAUUUUGCAACACAAGUUGUUUUACGUGGAAAAUUUAAUCUGGAAACAAAUAUAACUUUUAUUUUGAUUUCUUCUCUAUAGUUGUUUAGUAUGUUGUACCUUUUGCAAUAAGUUGAAGUCACUUAUUGAAUACCUCAUUAAAAUUUAUAAACAAGUAGUGCAUUACAAAAGAAUAAAAAGUUAAGAAAAAAAUGUUAAAAAGAGAAGAAACUCAUACUACCAUAAUAUUCUCUUCUUCUAAAGUCUUUAUGAAAUUAAAAAAAAAAACAAAAAAAAAGGUUUUUUUCAUUCUCUUUUAUUGGUGUUUGUGCAUAAAAAUAGAUGAGAGGGAGUAGAAAAAGAGAGAGAGUUUCUUUGUUUUUAUAGUUUUGUUUUUAAUUUUUUUUUAUUUUAUGUUUAAUAGAUGGAAGAAAAAACAAAAGGUUCUUUUUUGUAUGUGAGAUUUUAAGGGAUUUGAUUUGAUAAGUGAGAUUGCUGUAGAAAACAAAAGUAAAAUUUGUGUGUGAGAUUGUAUUAUAAGAAAUUUAAUAAUCAAGUAAGACUAUUGCGAAAAGAGAAUUAAGAGUGUGACUAUAGAUGUCUGUAUAAGUACUCUAUACGUGGCGUUGAAAACUCGAGAUUGUAUUAUAAGAAAUUUAAUAAUCAAGUAAGACUAUUGUGAAAAGAGAAUUAAGAGUGUGACUAUAGAUGUCUGUAUAAGUACUCUAUACGUGGCGUUAAAAACUCCCGAUGUACUUCGGCGGUGCGGUUACACCGGUCGACUUUAUCGGAGGUGAGUGUUUAUGAAAAAAAAAAUCAUCUUUUUCGUUGUACAAGAAAAAUAUUUUUUUUUUAAAUGACAAAAUGGAAAUGGAGUUUUUUUUAAGAUGAAAAUGGAGGAAGAUGGAAAUGGCAAAUGGAAAUGAUUUUUUUAAGAGAUGGAGAUGAAGUUUUUUUUAAGAUGGAAAUGAUUUUUUUAAAAGAUGGCGAUGAAGUUUUUUUUCAGAUGGAAAUGGAAUAAGAUGGAAAGGGUAGAAGAUGGAAAUGAAGUUUUUAAACAUGGAAAUGAGAAGUUUUUGUUAAUGGAAAUGAGAGAAGAUGAAAAUGUUUGAGAAUAGAUUUAGAAGUGUUUAUAAAGUUGUGUUUUGUUGGUGAAAAAGAAAUGAGAGUGAAAAAUUACUACAAGAAAGGUUGUAAGAAAAUGUCUUUGAGGAAGUUCAUGGGUCAAAAUUUUGCAACACAAGUUGUUUUACGUGGAAAAUUUAAUCUGGAAACAAAUAUAACUUUUAUUUUGAUUUCUUCUCUAUAGUUGUUUAGUAUGUUGUACCUUUUGCAAUAAGUUGAAGUCACUUAUUGAAUACCUCAUUAAAAUUUAUAAACAAAUAGUGCAUUACAAAAGAAUAAAAAGUUAAGAAAAAAAUGUUAAAAAGAGAAGAAACUCAUACUGCCAUAAUAUUCUCUUGUUCUAAAGUCUUUAUGAAAUUAAAAAAAAAAAAACAAAAAAAAAGGUUUUUUUCAUUCUCUUUUAUUGGUGUUUAAGCAUAAAAAUAGAUGAGAGGGAGUAGAAAAAGAGAGAGAGUUUCUUUGUGUUUAUAGUUUUGUUUUUCAUUUUUUUUAUUUUAUGUUUAAUAGAUGGAAGAAAAAACAAAAGGUUCUUUUUUGUAUGUGAGAUUUUAAGGGAUUUGAUUUGAUAAGUGAGAGUGCUGUAGAAAACGAAAGUAAAAUUUGUGUGUGAGAUUGUAUUAUAAGAAAUUUAAUAAUCAAGUAAGACUAUUGCGAAAAGAUAAUUAAGAGUGUGACUAUAGAUGUCUGUAUAAGUACUCUAUACGUGGCGUUAAAAACUCCCGAUGUACUUCGGCGGUGCGGUUACACCGGUCGACUUUAUCGGAGGUGAGUGUUUAUGAAAAAAAAAUUAUCUUUUUCGUUUUACAAGAAAAAUAUUUUUUUUUUAAAUGACAAAAUGGAAAUGGAGUUUUUUUUAAGAUGAAAAUGGAGGAAGAUGGAAAUGGCAAAUGGAAAUGGAAAAUGGAAAUGAUUUUUUUAAAAGAUAGAGAUGAAGUUUUUUUUAAGAUGGAAAUGAUUUUUUUAAAAGAUGGCGAUGAAGUUUUUUUUAAGAUGGAAAUGGAAUAAGAUGGAAAGGGUAGAAGAUGGAAAUGAAGUUUUUAAACAUGGAAAUGAGAAGUUUUUGUUAAUGGAAAUGGGAGAAGAUGAAAAUGUUUGAGAAUGGAUUUAGAAGUGUUUAUAAAGUUGUGUUUUGUUGGUGAAAAAGAAAUGAGAGUGAAAAAUUACUAAAAGAAAGGUUGUAAGAAAAUGUCUUUGAGGAAGUUCAUGGGUCAAAAUUUUGCAACACAAGUUGUUUUACGUGGAAAAUUUAAUCUGGAAACAAAUAUAACUUUUAUUUUGAUUUCUUCUCUAUAGUUGUUUUGUAUGUUGUACCUUUUGCAAUAAGUUGAAGUCACUUAUUGAAUACCUCAUUAAAAUUUAUAAACAAGUAGUGCAUUACAAAAGAAUAAAAAGUUAAGAAAAAAAUGUUAAAAAGAGAAGAAACUCAUACUACCAUAAUAUUCUCUUCUUCUGAAGUCUUUACGAAAUUUGGAAAAUUUAAUCUGGAAACAAAUAUAACUUUUAUUUUGAUUUCUUCUCUAUAGUUGUUUAGUAUGUUGUACCUUUUGCAAUAAGUUGAAGUCACUUAUUGAAUACCUCAUUAAAAUUUAUAAACAAGUAGUGCAUUACAAAAGAAUAAAAAGUUAAGAAAAAAAUGUUAAAAAGAGAAGAAACUCAUACUACCAUAAUAUUCUCUUCUUCUAAAGUCUUUAUGAAAUUAAAAACAGAAAAAAAAACAAAAAAAAAAGGUUUUUUUCAUUCUCUUUUAUUGGUGUUUGAGCAUAAAAAUAGAUGAGAGGGAGUAGAAAAAGAGAGAGAGUUUCUUUGUGUUUAUAGUUUUGUUUUUAAUUUUAUUUAUUUUAUAUUUAAUAGAUGGACGAAAAAAACAAAAGGUUCUUUUUUGUAUUUGAGAUUUUAAGGGAUUUGAUUUGAUAAGUGAGAGUGAUGUAGAAAACAAAAGUAAAAUUUGUGUGUGAGAUUGUAUUAUAAGAAAUUUAAUAAUCAAGUAAGACUAUUGUGAAAAGAGAAUUAAGAGUGUGACUAUAGAUGUCUGUAUAAGUACUCUAUACGUGGCGUUGAAAACUCCCGAUCUACUCCGGCGGUGCGGUUACACCGGUCGACUUUAUCGGAGGUGAGUGUUUAUGAAAAAAAAAUCAUCUUUUUCGUUUUACAAGAAAAAUAUUUUUUUUUUAAAUGACAAAAUGGAAAUGGAGUUUUUUUUAAGAUGAAAAUGGAGGAAGAUGGAAAUGGCAAAUGGAAAUGAUUUUUUUAAAAGAUGGAGAUAAAGUUUUUUUUAAGAUGGAAUUGAUUUUUUUAAAAGAUGGCGAUGAAGUUUUUUUUUAAGAUGGAAAUGGAAUAAGAUGGAAAGGGUAGAAGAUGAAAAUGAAGUUUUUAAAGAUGGAAAUGAGAAGUUUUUGUUAAUGGAAAUGGGAGAAGAUGAAAAUGUUUGAGAAUGGAUUUAGAAGUGUUUAUAAAGUUGUGUUUUGUUAGUGAAAAAGAAAUGAGAGUGAAAAAUUACUACAAGAAAGGUUGUAAGAAAAUGUCUUUGAGGAAGUUCAUGAGUCAAAAUUUUGCAACACAAGUUGUUUUACGUGGAAAAUUUAAUCUGGAAACAAAUAUAACUUUUAUUUUGAUUUCUUCUCUAUAGUUGUUUAGUAUGUUGUACCUUUUGCAAUAAGUUGAAGUCACUUAUUGAAUACCUCAUUAAAAUUUAUAAACAAGUAGUGCAUUACAAAAGAAUAAAAAGUUAAGAAAAAAAUGUUAAAAAGAGAAGAAACUCAUACUACCAUAAUAUUCUCUUCUUCUAAAGUCUUUAUGAAAUUAAAAAAAAAAACAGAAAAAAAGGUUUUUUUCAUUCUCUUUUAUUGGUGUUUGAGCAUAAAAAUAGAUGAGAGGGAGUAGAAAAAGAGAGAGAGUUUCUUUGUGUUUAUAGUUUUGUUUUUAAAUUUUUUUUAUUUUAUGUUUAAUAGAUGGAAGAAAAAACAAAAGUUUCUUUUUUGUAUGUGAGAUUUUAAGGGAUUUGAUUUGAUAAGUGAGAGUGCUGUAGAAAACAAAAGUAAAAUUUGUGUGUGAGAUUGUAUUAUAAGAAAUUUAAUAAUCAAGUAAGACUGUUGUGAAAAGAGAAUUAAGAGUGUAACUUAUGAGAUUAUAUAAUAAAUGUUGUUGUUUAGUUUUAUUUUUUUGAGAAUCUUAAUUAAUUUUAUAGAUGUAUGUUGUAUUAACAUUGAUUUGGCACUGUACAUAUAAAUGGCAGUCUAAGACUAGUUAGCUAUAUAUAGGCACAUAAGCCUCCCUCGUCAUGUGGGCUAGCCUAUUAUGCCACACCCCUUUGACUCACAAACAUUUUAUAACAAUAUUGCCACGCGUCGUACAAACAUUUUGCAGCAAUAUUCUCAUAUUGUACUGAUACUUUUUAGUUCAUUCAAAUUUGUAGUUUUUAAAUAUAAUUUUUACACUCAAAAUUAUUGUUUUAUUUAUUUAUUUAUCAUAUCAGUAUAUUUAGUGUUUGUUUAAUUUCAAUUUUAAUAGAGUUUAAAUCAAUUCAACAAUUGCAAAAUUGUUUUUAAAAUAUUUGAGUAUUAUUGAAUUAAAUUAAUUUUAUCUUCAAAAUAAAUAUUAACUUAAAAUUAAAAUUUGUGAUUUUAAAUUAAAAUGUCAUAUUUACUAUUGUACUAUUUUAUAAAAUACUAUUUUAUAAAAAAAAAUUAUUGUAUAAGACAAAUCAAUACUACUAGUACUAAUAUUAAUAAAAAUAUUUUAAUAACAAUGACAAGUAUUUUUAAUAAUUUAAAAAAUAAACUAAUUAUAGAAACACAUUUUUAUUUUAUUUUUUAUCUUCAAAGAAUAUAUAGUUAAGAAUGGAGAAUUCUUUAAAAUAAUUUCUCCACUCAUUUUUUUCUUUACCGCAUCCCCACUUAUUCUAAUUUUUGUUUUUAUAAUAAUAUCAAAUUACUCUAACUUUAACCAGCUACUCGUAAUAUAACAAGUAUUCAUCGAGAAGCUUUCAAUUGAUUUCUAAAUAUGAAUGCUUUAUUUUGAAAUGAAAAUGAAAUGUUAAAGCCACCAAAAGAUUAUAACAGAUAUAGUUAUAUUUGCUUUGUUAUGUUUUUAUGAAUUUUACUUAGGAUUGUAUAUGACUUAGAUUAUCAAAUACAGCAAAAUCAACUUGAUAAACCAAAAAAUAGUUUGAUCAGGUAAAUGAGUACAAAUUGGCAAUAAUAGUUUCACAUAAUAGUAAAAUGAUUUAAAAAAAAUGGCAUACUGAGUAAAAUUAAACCAAAUUCACUUUAUUUCUAUGCUUGCAAGUAUUUUAUGCAAUUUUAUGAAUUUUUCAACAUUGAUUAUAUUAAUGUUUGCAAUGUGAAUAUUAUAUGAUGGACUCUAUAUGAUUUUAAUAUUCUCGUUAAUUAUAUGUUUAUAUAUAAUAAAUAUUGAAAAAAUGAAAAAUAUAUGAUACACAAUUAAAUUAAGGUUGUGUUAUUUUUUUAGAAAUAUUAUAAUAAUUCGUCAUUAACAAUAAAAUUAAAACAAAAAGAAUGUGGAUAAUAUAGUAUUCAUAUUGUGGAUAAUCUAAUAAUACUUUACUCUAUAACUGAUUUUUGAAAACCAAGUUUAACCUAAUAACUCUCUAAAAAUUUGGGUUCUGGUUUUAGCCAAACCAACUCACGUAUAACCCGAAUUUUAUUAGUUUGUUUUAGUUGAUAUUUCAUAUUUGGAUAUUGUUUAGUUAUGUCUGUUUAUAUCAAUCUCAAAUCACUUCUUGUGUGAACAAAUUUCAAUUCAUAGCAAAUGUCUUUAUUGUUGAAUUUAAUUUAAUAUAAAAAUAUUUAAAUAUAAAUCACUUUACAUUAAUAUAUUUUUUUAACUAAAAUCAACUAUUUCAAAAUUAAUUUUAAUCGCUACAUAAUUAAACACAUAAUUGACUAUUUGGAUACGGUGCAAGUAGCAGUUCUCACGUUUGGAGCCAUGGUGAAGCAAAAGCUAAGCUUUUUAGUUUUUCAUAAAUGCGGGGUAGCAAUGAAUUACUGUUCUCCUAAUAUACAUUAGAUCAGUUUUCAUUUACCCAUUUUAACUUAAGUCAAUUAAUUAAAAAUCACUUUUUUCUCAGGGCAAAUGAAAAAAUAUAUAAUCCUUCGAUUUAUGGAUGUCAUGAGUUUUUUGAGAAUUUUUUCAAGAUCAAAUCAUCCGAUUUCAUACAUAUACACGCUUUUAAUAGAAGCCGAAUUUCACUUAUUUUCCUCUCUUAUUUUCAAAACUUUUUGUUAUUGAUAAGAUAAAAUUGGGGUAAAAUAAUUACACAUGUGCUUGAUAUGUUGUUCUUUUUCCUUUGAUGUUUACUAAUAAAGUUUUGUUAGGUGUUUAGUUAAUGCAUGUUUCCGAUAUAUUUUUAAUCUUAUUGUUUCUAAUAGCAAAUGCAUGUUAUCUAGAUCAGAUUAGUUAGUAUCUUAAGUUGGCAUAUAAAUGUGCAUUUAGGUUUGAAUCAUAUACAUCCAUGAUAAUAAACUUAAACAAAAAUAUGAGAAAAAAGAUGUACCUUAACAACGAUUUGCGAGUCAGUUUGAAUAAGAUUAUUGUAAAUAUCUUGCAGAAAUAAAUCCGACGUGUGCUUUCUAUUAGAUUGAUAUAUAUUUAUCCACCACCUUUGUAUGUAAUAUCUCAAAAUACC
rnacentral:lncRNA from 1 species